rnacentral:rRNA from 1 species
UACGAAGGGUGCUAGCGUUGUUCGGAUUUACUGGGCGUAAAGCGUGCGUAGGUGGCUUUACAAGUCAGGGGUGAAAUCCUGGGGCUCAACCCCAGAAUUGCCUUUGAAACUGUAGAGCUAGAGUAUCGGAGGGGAUAGCGGAAUUGCUAAUGUAGAGGUGAAAUUCGUAGAUAUUGGGAAGAACACCGGUGGCGAAGGCGGCGCUCUGGACCGAGACUGACGCUGAGGCGCGAAAGCGUGGGGAGCAAACAGG